AAUAGGAAAGAGUUGUGUAUAUCCCAUUGGCAUACGUGGGCAAGGGGCGGGGUCUAUUUUCCGUGUCAUGGCUCCUCCCUGUAGACUUCAAGAAGUUCCAUAUCCGGAAGUGGGCUCCGUAGACUUUCGUUUGACUGUCGACACCUUUCUCGGGACUAGGUUCGGCAUACACUGCUGGCUGUACCUAUUGUUGUCAUUACUACCAUGUGGGACACAGUAAGAUGCGUAAGAUGCCUUGUGAAUCUAAGGUAAUUAUUGUAUUGAAAUUGACACGACAUAUAUACCAGUAUAUGUGAAUAGUCUGGUACUAUAUGUUUGUAGUUCAUAUGUGUAGGUCCAAACUCCAUGACAGCUGAUGAGGUAUUGAAGGCACAACUGUAAUAUUUCAAAGCAAUUGAGGUUCAAGUAAUAUGUAAUGUAGUAAUGUAGGGAAGUGUGAAGGCAUAUUUGGCAUUAAUUUAUAGGCAGGUGUUUAAAUGGAACAGAGAAAGUAACCAUUGAAUUGCAUUGUAGGACAUUCCUAAAUAUCAAUCAUAACCGAAUCGUUGCUGAAGAAAUCGUUUUUCAAAUCAAAUCGGCAUGAAUGCUCUGAUUUAUACCCCUAGUCAUGACUAGAAGAAAAUAAAGACAAAAACACAUUGACAAUUUGUCAACGGUUUAUUCUCCCUGUUUGACAUGUUCAUGCUGUGUCUUGAGGUUUUUUUUGUGUUUGUUUUUUUUGUUUUGUUUGUUUUUUGCUAUUGGUGGGGACUGCUAUUGAGGAGGCUGCCGUGGCUGGAGGAUGCUGUCGAAGGUGUAGGAGACUGCCGUGGCUGGAGGAGGCUGCCGAAGGUGGAGGAUGCUGCCGUGGCUGGAGGUGGAGGUGGAGGAGGCUGCCGAAGGAAGAAGCUUCCGUAGGUGGAGGAGGCUGCCGUGGCUGGAGGAGGAGGAGGCUGCCGAGGCUGGAGGAGGCUGCUGUAGCUGGUGGAGGCUGGAGGAGGAGGAGGCUGCCGUAGGUGGAGGAGGAGAAGGAGGCUGCCGUAGGUGUAGCUGGAGGAGGCUGCCGUAGCUGGAGGAGGCCGUGGCUGGAGGAGGCUGGAGGCUGCCGAAGGUGGAGGAGGCUGGAGGAGGCUGCCGAAGGUGGAGGAGGCUGCCGAAGGUGGAGAAGGCUGCUGAAGGAAGAGGCUUCUGUAGGUGGAGGAGGCUGCUGAAGGUGUAGGCAGAGACUUCUUCGCUUGGCUUUUGCUGCCCAGCUGUGUCAUAUUCACUCAUCAUUGACUGAUGACCCCUGAACAGAUUUCCGGCCCUUCUUCAUACACCUUGUCUUCCACCUUCACAGUCAUGGCACAACACUCAGGAGUGCUGUGAGUUGCAUGACACCUGCAGAGGCUCCAUACUACAGACUACUUCUACUCGGUACUACAGAAACCGAUCACUUGACAAGCCUGUGUCCUGUUUUGGCCUUCCACACUCUGUAGGAUUGCAUAGGCUCCAUUUCUUCUCCCACAUCACCAUUCCAAAACAACUCCAGAUGUUUCGUUUGUAUUAUGGCCAGUGUCUUUACAUCUGUUACACUACCUGUGUUUUGCACCCAAAACUGGACUGCUCUAUCUGUUUCUUGUUUUUUAUCAUUAUCACUUGCAUUGCUGUAAAUAUGUUCCAUUAGCUCAGUUUUGCAACUAUGAAGUGUACAGUUUUGUUGUUGUAUUACUGUUACGCUGAGCAAAAAGAAACCUCAAACCUUACUCUUAGGCCUAUGUGAAUUCUUCAUGCGUGUCGUGCUCUGUCAACAGUUUGAUGCUUACAAAGCAUUCCAAGUGUCUGUAUGAUGUUCUACCAUUAUGCUAUGCCUUCACACAGUUAAUAACAAAAGGUAUACAGUAUUAAAAAUGCAUAUUCACACUAGGUUAUUGUCUAACUUGGCACCAUAGCAGUGAGCAUCCAGUGUAUAAUUUCUGUGUUCAAAACAUACAUAAAUACAUUUUUUUUUAAAAUUAAUUGACCCACUCAAGUACUGGUUAUACAGUUGUUGUCUUUUUUUAAUUAUAAUUUAUUUAGUCCACAUGACAGAUCCAUGGCCCUGCUCCAUGCCACUGAUUCAGAGUCGUGUGUAGGGACUACACGUCUCUGCCCUGAUCCUCUUCACUCUGCCUGCAUGCAACGAUGCAUGUUUUUGGCAGGUCUGAUGCAGCCUCAUAAAGGCUAAAGCUGGCCUGCGUCUCACUGCUAGAGAUCUA